rnacentral:pre_miRNA from 1 species
GGGGGGAGUCCGGAUCCUGGGCUGUGUCCCGGCGCCCUGUGCUCCCGGCCAGGGCGGGAUUCGCGCUACCGGCCGCAGUCCCUUCC